rnacentral:rRNA from 1 species
CUGUACAGUUCAGAGUUUGAUCCUGGCUCAGGACGAACGCUGGCGGCGUGCCUAACACAUGCAAGUCGAACGGGACUUGAGGGGCUUGCUCCUCAAGUUUAGUGGCGAACGGGUGAGUAACGCGUGAGAAACCUGCCUCUCAGUGGGGGACAACAGUUGGAAACGACUGCUAAUACCGCAUAAUGUAUUCGGAGGGCAUCCUCUGGAUACCAAAGCUUUAUGUGCUGAGAGAUGGUCUCGCGUCUGAUUAGCUAGAUGGCGGGGUAACGGCCCACCAUGGCGACGAUCAGUAGCCGGUCUGAGAGGAUGAACGGCCACAUUGGGACUGAGAUACGGCCCAG